GACGAACGCUGGCGGCGUGCUUAAUACAUGCAAGUAGAACGGAAAGGCCUCUUUUGGGUUGUCCUCGAGUGUCGAACGGGUGAGUAACACGCGAGUAACAUCCGCCUGACUUUGGGGUAACUUCAGGAGAAAGGGGCUAAUACCGCACAGGAGCUCCUGCUGUACGGUGGGUGUUGGUAAGUUUCGGCGGUUGGGGAUGGCCUGGCGGGUUAUCGGCUUGUUGGUGGGGUAGUGGCUUACCAAGGCUUUGACGGGUAGGCAGCCUGAGGGGGUGAACGGCCACAAUGGGACUGAGAUACGGCGCAGACUCCUACGGGAGGCAACAGUGGGGAAUAUUGCAGAAUGGGUGGAAGCCUGAUGCGGCAACGCCGGGUGCGGGAUGACGGCCUUCGGGUUGUAAACCGCUUUCGCACAUGACGAAGCAUUGUGUGACGGUAGUGGAUAAAAAAGCACCGGCUAACUACGUG
rnacentral:rRNA from 1 species